UCUUUUAAAUAUAUAAUUUCCAUUUUUUGGCAGUUAACUUUUAAAAUGAGCUAUUCAUUCUACACUUGUACAGCACACAGUUUAUUGCAUUUUAUACGGUUAUAUUGAAAUUACAUGAACUGGGGCACCUAAGGGAAUGUUUAUGUUUCAGGAAAAAAAAAAAAAAAAUUGGACUGGAUUGAAAUGCAGCAUGAAUCAUAAGAGAAGUUUAGAAGCACAUGAAGAUGAAUGGGUCCCCAGUGACUCAACAGAGAACAUCUGUCAAUGCUGUCUGGAAAAUUAGAUGAUAUAAAUACCACGUCGAUCUACCUUGUAUUUUUUUGACUGCUCUUGAAUGAUGACUUUCAUAACCACACAUAUACCAACAAACUUUGAUUAGAUAUCUUUUCUGACUCACAUAGAAAUAGUUAAGAAAAGAAUCUGAAACAAGAAACUAUGAAGAAGGAAGAUGAGAGCUAUUUGAAGCGACUGGUACUUCAGUAAGAAAGGGAUCCAAUAAAUUAAGUGGUGUGGCUGCACGUUUAACAAAAUUGAAGAAGUUUUAACCAUAUACUUGAAUUCCAUAGUGUGACAGUGAGUUAUACAUUUGCUGCAUCCUAGCAGGAGCAGGUCACAUUUUGAAGCUUUUCUGUGUAAUUAUUAGAGACUGAAAACUUCUUUAAAAACAAAAGUCCAGAUGAUUCUGUGUUCCUAAGACUCUACAAGCAAGAACAUCAGCAUCCUUGUUGCCCCAGAAAUGAAGAAAAGUUUUCAAGUACAUCUAAAUAUUAUCUAACACCUGAGAGGAUGUCAAGGAGACGAAGUCAAUCUCAUCACAGUGGAAAGUCAAGAGAUUAUGGACAUGUGUUGAAACAAGAAAUUGUCAAAUGGGAUGUGAGAAAAAGCUUUUUCACCACAAGGACAGUGGAACAGAGGAAGAGGCUGCCCAGUGAAGAUAAUUAAGGAUCCAUAUAUUUAAUCUAGAAAAAAAGUUGUGCCUGUGUUCUUGUUCAUAAAUUCAAGCAAAAAGGAUCCCAGCUUGCUCAGGAAUCUUUUGAAAAUUACUGAAUACAAAGAGGCUACACUUUAUUGGGAAUUCCCUGCACUGCAACUGAUUGAAAGCUAGAAGAAUAUGAGAUUUAUGGCCAUCCGUUUAUGACCAUAUAAUAAAUGAGUUGGGUCUCAGUAGAUUUAUCUGGAUCUAGCCUUAGUCUAAACUGAAUUGAAAAUAGCUGUUCUUAAUUUUGUAUCAUACUUUCCUCCAUUUUACAGUAAAUUUGGGGGGGGGAGGGGAGGAAGGUAAAAAAGCUCAUAUGAACUGGAUGGGCAAGAGGGAUGGAUGUGUGUGUGUAAUCUGAAGAGUGGGAAAUUCAAGCACCCUGAACUCCACCUUUUAACAAAGUACAAAUCUAUGAGGGGUACUGGUCUCCCUCAGCUGAUUGGGAACUUAGUUUGUUCAGAGCAUAGGCCUCCAGCAUGUGCACAGAGCCAUGGCCCAGACCUCCCACAGCUUGUUUGGGCUCAGAUUUGCUUCCUCACAGCUCCGUCCAGCCACUGGCAAACUGAUUUUUGGUUAAUGUUUUCAUAGAUAUCUGAGGGAUUUCUUUACCACGCAUACACUCUAACAAAAAAUAACAAGCUCUUGAAAAUCUUUCCAAAGGAGUAAGAUAUCCGCGUCUGACUUCACUUCUGUGUGAAUAUCACCAGGACACCAACAUAUUGUGUGGGACUUUUUCCCGCUCUUCUUGCAUAUGGAAAUGAAAAGGGUCUCUAGUACUCCUUUUUUGCAACCCCCCUCAUGACUUUUAUAUCAUGUUGUCAGUUUGGGGUGCUUUGCAGCUAUUCCAUUUGUCAAUCAGAACAGGUUAAUAAUAGAAAAAUUAUUCAUG
ensembl:lncRNA